rnacentral:rRNA from 1 species
CCUACGGGAGGCAGCAGUGAGGAAUAUUGGUCAAUGGCCGGAAGGCUGAACCCUCCCUUCCUCUUUCCUGUCCGUGCCCUCUGGGCGUUAAACUUCUUUUGUGCGGGAGCAAUAAUGGUCACGUGUGGCCAGACGAGAGUACCGUACGAAUAAGCAUCGGCUAACUCCGUGCCAGCAGCAGCGGUAAUACGGGGGAUGCAAGCGUUAUCCGGAUUUAGUGGGUUUAACGGGUGCGUAGGCUGUGAGGUAAGUCAGCGGUGAAAUGCCCCCGCUCAACGGGGUGAAGUGCCAUUGAUACUGCCUGGCUGGAAUGCGGAUGCCGUGGGAGGAAUGUGUGGUGUAGCGGUGAAAUGCAUAGAUAUCACACAGAACACCGAUUGCGAAGGCAUCUCACGAAUCCGCGAUUGACGCUGAUGCACGAAAGCGUGGGUAUCAAACAGGAUUAGAUACCCGUGUAGUC